UACGGGGGGGGCAAGCGUUGUUCGGAAUUACUGGGCGUAAAGGGCUCGUAGGCGGCCAACUAAGUCAGACGUGAAAUCCCUCGGCUUAACCGGGGAACUGCGUCUGAUACUGGAUGGCUUGAGGUUGGGAGAGGGAUGCGGAAUUCCAGGUGUAGCGGUGAAAUGCGUAGAUAUCGAGAGGAACACCUGCGGCGAAGGCGGGUUGCUGGGCUGAUACUGACGCUGAGGCGCGAAAGCCAGGGGAGCGAACGGG
rnacentral:rRNA from 1 species